GGGCCGCACGCGCGCUACACUGACGGAGCCAGCAAGUACAACCUUGGUCGAGAGGCCUGGGUAAUCUCGUGAAACUCCGUCGUGCUGGGGAUAGAGCAUUGUAAUUUUUGCUCUUCAACGAGGAAUUCCUAGUAAGCGCAAGUCAUCAACUUGCGUUGAUUACGUCCC
rnacentral:rRNA from 1 species